UGGUGCGUUCAAUUGGACUCGAACCAACGACCCCCACCAUGUCAAGGUGGUGCUCUAACCAACUGAGCUAUGAACGC
rnacentral:tRNA from 2 species